rnacentral:rRNA from 1 species
AAUCAACGCUGGCGGCGUGCCUAACACAUGCAAGUCGCGCGCGAAAGGGGGGCAACUCCCGAGUAAAGCGGCGAACGGGUGAGUAACACGUGGGUAAUCUACCUUCGAGUGGGGAACAACACCGGGAAACUGGUGCUAAUUCCGCAUGACAUCGUCGGGGCUUCGGUUCUGACGCUCAAAGCUGGGGAUCGCAAGACCUAGCGCUUGAAGAUGAGCCCGCGUCCGAUUAGCUAGNGGCGGGUAAUGGCCCACCAAGGCUUCGAUCGGUAGCCGGCCUGAGAGGGCGGACGGCCGCACUGGAACUGAGACACGGUCCAGACUCCUACGGGAGGCAGCAGU